AUAUUUGUACAAUCUUUUGCCAUUAUUAAUUAUUGCACUUUGUAAAUAGUUGAAGCAACUUGGCAUUCAAGACAUGUUUAUUUAAGAGUUAAUGUAACUUCUCUUUGUAUGAGGAUCAGUACAACAAACUAUUACGAAAAACAAAACAUCCUAUCUUUAUCGUUAACGUAACCACAAUACUGAAUGUUUCCAGCAGUCUAAAGAUUAGCCAUCAUACCAAAACUAAAGAUGUGAAUAAACAAUGUAUUUAAAAAGAUUGUAGGUCUUGAAGAAAACAAAACAAAAACAUAGCAUUAAUAAUCAUUAUUGUAAGGAUUGUGAGUAGCGUUUUAUGUUGUUAAUGCCUUUUUCCAGUAGUACCGCUUUGGAGUUUUUUUUUUUUUUUUUAGCUUGUUUUUCUUUGGUCACGUGAGAAUUUGACAGUACCUAAACGAGCCUCUCCGGGCUCUGUGCUUUAAAGAGAAACUGACUAAAUGAGACUGAACAUACCAGACACAGAGGAUGGGUUCAUCCAUUAAACGAACCUUCAUUUGCAAAGGUCAUCAUAGAUGCCUCUUGACCAAAGAAUCCAAAUCUCCUUUCCAGAUUCAAGCAGGCAGUUUAUCUUUCAACACGACAAUGAUCCAAAGCAUACAGCUAAGUCAACUCUGGAAUUCUUGAAGAAAAGGAAGAUACAAGUUUUGAAAUGGCCUUCGCAAUCACCAGGUCUCAGUCCUAUAGAAGUGCUUUGGACUGAUCUGAGCCAAGCAUUGUUUAUCCAAUCUGACCUGAAGGAAACAUGCAAGACAGAAUGGACUCUGAUUUCACCAACAAGAUGCAGCACACUGGUUAAGAAUUAUCAGAAAUGUCUGAAAGCUGUACUAAAAGCAAAAGGAAGUCACAAACAAUACUAAAGCAGGGGUGCCAAUACUUCUGUCAUGAGCGAAUACAUCAAAUCUAAUAAGUGUGUUUGUUUUUUGAUAACAAUUAUUUGUAAAUUACUAGAAAUUGUGUAUUUCAAGUUUACUAAAUGCAUGUUCUUAAUCUGUUACUUUGAAUUAUGAUAUAAUAAGCAAAAGGUUCCAAUACUUUUGUCAGCGACUGUACCAAAUAUCACCAGGACAGCCUUCUUCAGAUGGCUGCUUUACUCUGUAAAAGUUACAGUACAAUGCAGUUUACAUGAGCUAAUGUGCAGUUACACUAAAAGUGACCUCAUGCCUUUUUCCCAUCUGCCGCUGUGUGUGGCCAGAGUUGAACUGCCACUGUUUCCAUAGGAUUUCACCCCAAUCACCCAAAUAACCGAAACCUACUGUAAAUGACAUUUUGCUGUAAAACGUACACAACAUGGACAGUGGCAGUCCAAAUUUGACCAGGCAUCAAGCUGAGAUUGAGUUUUUUCAACCCAGUGGCAGAUGGAAUAAAAUUGUAAUGUCAAAUGAAGACAUAAUGCACUCUGUUGUUCUGUUUAAGAGAAAUAAAACCUCACACACAGUGCUCCUGUUUGUUUCUGUGGUUUUUAUUCACUUCCUCCAUCACAAGGACCUGUUUUCUAAGUCUGUAUUCUAAACCUGCACAAACCCUGUAGGUAUUGUUCUGCUGCUGCUACUGAAAACUAACAUGACUGAUUUUGAACCGCUU